rnacentral:lncRNA from 1 species
AGUGGAUGCUAUCAAAAAUUUUAGAUUCCAAUUUAAGAUUGAUUGCUAUUUGGAUUUGUUUGAGACUUUUGUUGUACCGUCUUCGCAACGAAAUUUAAUUUCGGUUCCUUGUAUGGACAAGUUAGGAUAUUCUAGUUCAUUUGGGGAUAAUAAAGUUUGGUACACUACCUAGUAUUAUUACUAGCUAUAAGAAGUCCAUGUAUCUGGAUUUUGCAUGAUUGGUGAUGAAUUAGUUAAUUAUGAGUGAUGUAAGCAUAAACAAUUGCUCUCUCAAGGGUCUAUUAUUAAUGGUGAAUUUAUCAG